GAUGAACGCUGGCGGCGUGCCUAAUACAUGCAAGUCGAACGCUUCACUUCGGUGAAGAGUGGCGAACGGGUGAGUGAUACAUAAGUAACCUGGCAUCUACAGGGGGAUAACUGAUGGAAACGUCAGCUAAGACCGCAUAGGUGUAGAGAUCGCAUGAACUCUAUAUGAAAAGUGCUACGGGACUGGUAGAUGAUGGACUUAUGGCGCAUUAGCUUGUUGGUAGGGUAACGGCCUACCAAGGCGACGAUGCGUAGCCGACCUGAGAGGGUGACCGGCCACACUGGGACUGAGACACGGCCCAGACUCCUACGGGAGGCAGCAGUAGGGAAUUUUCGGCAAUGGGGGAAACCCUGACCGAGCAACGCCGCGUGAAGGAAGAAGUAAUUCGUUAUGUAAACUUCUGUCAUAGAGGAAGAACGGUGGAUAUAGGGAAUGAUAUCCAAGUGACGGUACUCUAUAAGAAAGCCACGGCUAACUACGUG
rnacentral:rRNA from 1 species